rnacentral:lncRNA from 1 species
AUCUUGUUGCCAUAGCAGAACUGUUCCAUCAUAACACGAAGAGUGCUUGUCGAGACAUUGUAGCUGGAAUUCAUGCAAGGGUAUGCAGGAGUAAUUAUUGGCAUAAGGUGAUACCUGUCCCUAUGGUUUCUGCGAGGAUCCCAUAUAGGUAAAUGCAGUUCAUUCUCUUCUAUAGGGCAUAGCAUUACAGGGUUUGGCCACCGCCACUGUGAAUAGACCCUAAAGAAUCUAGAAACCAACAUGCUAGGGAUUGCAUUAGGGUAAAGCUGGCAAACUCGAGCAACUAAAAUAGCCCAAUUUACUCCUCCAAGGAAUCCAGUAAC